AAACAAAAGAGAAAAUCAAAGUAAAAGACACAGCCCCAAACAAACAUAACUACGGAAACUCCACUUUUGAUCCCCACAUAGACAAAGAUCCAAAAAAACCAAAUCAUAAUAGCCUAAAAAACUUAGCCUAAUCCAUAACCUUGAAGCAAAGAUGCUAGGGAAAAUCCCAAAAAAUCACAAAUACUACUCGCAACGCCCAAAAAAGCAAAGACUCCUAGAGCACAGACUUGAAACUCAACACUUCUUGAUCAAGAAUCCCAUGGUCAUGGAAAGAAGACUGAAAGAUGAGAUCUUGGUCUCUUUUAAAGUGAAUGCAUUAAUAGUUAUAAGAAGAAACUUUCUUGAGAGAUGCAAAGUGGAGCCGAAGCAUGGAACUAAAUAAUGUCACAAGAUAGAUAGAAAUAUCUCCAACCAAGACUGCCGAAGCUCUCAUAAAUAAAGCUUCAAUAAAGAGCUACUUCCAACAAAAAGAGACAUAUCUGCUACAUAGUCACUUUUCAAGCUACUAUGUGUCAUGCUCCAUCACAAUGAGUCAAAAAGCGAGCCAAGCUUCAUAAUGAUGCCAAUAGAGAAAUUCAGAUAAGAGUAGAUCACCCAUUGAUGUAAAGGCAAAAACAACCCAAGCCUGAAACAAAUGAGCAUAAAUAUAACUACGUAUGAACCAGAGCAACUCGACAGCAGAUGCCAAAUCAAUUAUAAAAAAUAAUGGAAUCCUCUUCGCGCGAACUGAUUUUGCCAAAACCCAACCUACCAAGAGACUUAGAGUACAACAUCCUCCUAGAGUGUGGAGAGGUAGGGACCUUCUAAAUCUAUGCAUUGUUGAGCAGAGAAACUUCUUUGUUAUUUUGUCCAAUAAAAAAUUGUAUCAUUUCCUUAUCUUAGCUUCGGGGAAGUCUCCAAGAGAUCAGAGAGGAGCUUAUUUUUCCUCCUUUGCUUAAGCAACCUCGACACCUUAAUUUUACUGAAGUUAACAGUUGUUGUGUUUCGCGUAGAUGGGCUAGGGGUGUGAAAUGGGAUAAUAGCCUAGUAUUGGCCUUUAGACUGUGGGGGAAAAGGCCUAACACCCUUGGGCUCCCUAAUUUUAGCCCGUGACAUUUCAUUUAAUUCUAAUUCUUUAAGAUUAAAUGUGUAGGGUACCAAUGUGAGCUCAUCGAACCUGUUUUCACUGAAGAGAGCUAAAGAGUCUAUUAAGCAUGAUUCUCCUUCUUGCUAGUUAGACGACGAAAGAUGCACAUGCAAUGGGUCUGUGCUUUUUGAUUUACCAGGGCAAUAAAUGAGUGUCGGAGAUAUGUCUCCAAAAAAAGGACCUGAU
rnacentral:misc_RNA from 1 species